GUUGGGGGUGGGGCUCUGGUGGACCCAAUGUCUAGGGCUGGUCUGCGCAAGAGGCCCCUUGCCUUCCCUGGGGUCUCAGCCCCACCCUGUCCACAUACUGCCUCUCCCUUCUGCUAGGGUGACCCCUGUGAAGUGUGCCCAACACUGCCUGAAGGGUUCCAGAACUUUGUUGGACUUCCUGGAAAGCCAGGGCCCAAAGGGGAGCCUGGUGAUCCUGUACCAGCCAGGGGAGACCCUGGCAUCCAAGGCAUCAAAGGAGAGAAGGGGGAGCCCUGCUUGUCCUGCAGCUCGGUUGUAGGGGCCCAGCAUCUUGUGUCCUCCACAGGGGCCAGUGGAGAUGUGGGUUCCCCUGGCUUUGGUCUGCCUGGCCUUCCGGGUAGAGCUGGGGUUCCAGGGCUGAAAGGAGAGAAGGGUAACUUCGGGGAGGCAGGGCCAGCUGGCAGUCCAGGGCCACCAGGACCAGUGGGGCCAGCAGGCAUCAAAGGGGCGAAGGGGGAGCCCUGUGAGCCGUGCCCAGCCCUGUCCAACCUUCAGGAUGGGGAUGUCCGUGUGGUGGCCUUGCCUGGCCCAUCCGGAGAGAA
rnacentral:lncRNA from 1 species